GACCAGACUCCUACGGGAGGCAGCAGUGGGGGAUAUUGCACAAUGGGGGGAACCCUGAUGCAGCGACGCCGCGUGAGUGAAGAAGUAUUUCGGUAUGUAAAGCUCUAUCAGCAGGGAAGAAAAUGACGGUACCUGACUAAGAAGCCCCGGCUAACUACGUGCCAGCAGCCGCGGUGAUACGUAGGGGGCAAGCGUUAUCCGGAUUUAUUGGGUGUAAAGGGAGCGUAGACGGCAGCACAAGUCUGGAGUGAAAUGCCGGGGCUUAACCCCGGAACUGCUUUGGAAACUGUGCAGCUAGAGUGCAGGAGAGGUGAGUGGAAUUCCUAGUGUAGCGGUGAAAUGCGUAGAUAUUAGGAGGAACACCAGUGGCGAAGGCGGCUUACUGGACUGUAACUGACGUUGAGGCUCGAAAGCGUGGGGAGCAAACAGGAUUAGAUACCCCCGUAC
rnacentral:rRNA from 1 species